AUUGAACGCUGGCGGCAGGCCUAACACAUGCAAGUCGAACGAGUGGCGGACGGGUGAGUAAUGUCUGGGAAACUGGCUGAUGGAGGGGGAUAACGACUGGAAACGGUAGCUAAUACCGCAUACCAUCAGAUGUGCCCAGGUGGGAUUAGGUUGUUGGUGGGGUAACGGCUCACCAAGGCGACGAUCCCUAGCUGGUCUGAGAGGAUGACCCGCCACACUGGAAUCGGGACACGGUCCAGACUCCUACGGGGGGCAGCAGUGGGGAAUUUUGGACAAUGGGGGGAAGCCCUAUGCAGCCAUGCCGGGUGUAUGGAGAAGGCCUUCGGGUUGUAAAGUUCUUUCCGCGGGGAGGCGGUACCCGAAGAAGAAGCACCGGCUAACUCCGUGCCAGCCGCCGCGGUAAUAC
rnacentral:rRNA from 1 species